CUAAUCCAAUAUGUCUGGUGCCAUUGUAGGAGGAAGUCAGAACAGAUGCACAGGGAGGCCUUCACGUGAGCCCAUCGAGACUGCAAGCAGGAGAGCUGAUUCCAGCCAACCUCGAUGACACCUUGAUCUCAGCUCUGAAGGCUGGAGGAGAUAAAUGUCUAUUGUGUAAGCUCCCCUAGUCUGUGAGGUUGUAAGGGCAGCCCCGAAACACACAUGCUGUGUGCUGGGCACAUCCUCAUACAAUAUCAGUCUUUUUAUUUUCCUGUGGUACUCGCUAAGGCACUGGGGCUGGCUUUGAACCUGAGCUCCUCCUGCCUCAGCCUCCCUAGCCUUUGGGAUCACAGGCAUGUGCCACUGCAACUGGGUACAUUGCCAUUCUUAAUUUUCUCACUGACCUGAUAAUGAGGUUGAUCUUUCUUUCUUGGUGGAAAGACAGAACAUUUGAGCAGCUAGAAUGAUCAUCCAAACUCAUGCAGUGAAUAAGUGGAUUAAAAUUCCAGAGACUCUAGGCUGUAUCCCUGUGCAUCCUCUAAGGACAGAAUCCCGAUUUGGCCUUCAUAAAAGACGUGAAAUGCAAUAGAAACCUUUGGACGGGAGAAACCAGUCGCAGAAACAGAUCUCGCCCAUUAGGACCCCAGAAUGACUGUGUUGGGUUGUGGGAGCCUCGGGUAAGCUCCUUCCUCUCUCUGGGUCCUCUAUUUUUAUUAUCGGGAAAUGGGCACCUUGGACCCAUGGAAAAUACUCAAGGCUCUUGCCCAAAGCGUCAAGGUCAGAUUCAAGGCUCAGGGGGCUUCAAACUUCCGUCUCUCCUUCUUCUACAAGAUUCUUUGCUGGUGAGCACCCAACUCUUUUUUUUUUUUUUUGAUUGCUUUUAUUUUUUUUAACUACAUGACAGCAGAAUGCAUC
rnacentral:lncRNA from 1 species